rnacentral:rRNA from 1 species
GAGUUUGAUUAUGGCUCAGGAUGAACGCUAGCUACAGGCUUAACACAUGCAAGUCGAGGGGCAGCAUGAAGUCAGCUUGCUGACUUUGAUGGCGACCGGCGCACGGGUGCGUAACGCGUAUCAAACCUGCCGCAUACUCGGGGAUAGCCUUGCGAAAGUAAGAUUAAUACCCGAUGUUAUUAUGCCCUCGCAUGAGGGUAUAAUCAAAGAUUUUAUCGGUAUGCGAUGGUGAUGCGUCUGAUUAGGUAGUAGGCGGGGUAACGGCCCACCUAGCCAACGAUCAGUAGGGGUUCUGAGAGGAAGGUCCCCCACACUGGAACUGAGACACGGUCCAGACUCCUACGGGAGGCAGCAGUGAGGAAUAUUGGUCAAUGGACGGAAGUCUGAACCAGCCAAGUAGCGUGCAGGAUGACGGCCCUCCGGGUUGUAAACUGCUUUUAGUAGGGAAUAACGGCGGGGANUUUUCCCCGAAAAGAAUNACCAUCAGAAAAGGACCGG